UGAGAUGCUAAUUAUAAUAAAUAUAAUUUUGAAAAAUAAUGUUACAUAAAUUGUACCUUGAAGAAGGGGAAAUAACUGUCACUAUAACCAAUCUCUGGAGGAGUAUUUGUUGAUGAGAGACAGAUGUAACGAGGUGCUAAUGUAUACAUAGUUUUAAGAACACGACCAAAGUACCAACUAACUGUUUGACCAUAGUGUUAAAAUCGUUCUUGUAUUAUGUGAUUGCCUGAGUUAUGAGCUAUGGUGUAUAGAAACAUUCCCACUUGUUCCUCGAUACUAAUAUACUUAGAAUCUUGGAUGAGAUUUUCGAUUCGUAAGGUAUUACAAAGAUUCUUAAGGACAUAAUAUGUUAUAUAAUACCAUGCAGCAGCAACAGCAACUACUAGCAUAUCCUCCUUUUGGCUUUCUUCUUGAGAUUCGUAGUCCAUGGAUACCAUUUAUCAAUUCUGAAUUACGUUCACCCUAAUUAAUAAAUCAUCUCAUAAACAUGAGACCUUCUUGCAAUAAUCUAAUUAUAUCAUUGUAUAAUAACAAGGCGGACAAAACAAGUAUAACUUCCAACAUUUCUAGCAAAUCAAUUACAAAUGUAACCAACGAAUCUCAAAUCCAACUAAUCACAAAAUUAUUAUAAAUAAAAUUGAACCAAGUUCGAUGGUGUUCAAAAUAUUAUGUUCAUAUCAUCUAGAAAAUAACUAGGUUAUACUAUUCACUAAUUUUUAGCAUAACCAGGCCUCACAAAUUAAUCCUUCUAGUUUCUUAAAUGUAACUCUAUUGUUUUCAUCCUUCAAAAUUUCUACUACUUCCACCAUCUCGACUACAGAAAUUUCUUAGAACUCCUGCAAUUCCUCGAAGCAAGUGCCAUAAGAACAAUCUUCUUUAGUAGCUUGCAGCGUCUUCUUUUAAUCACAGUUGGUGUUUCACUCGAUUAUCUUAUCCAACGCAUUUGCAAUACAAUGGCCUUCCUUUUAUGGUGAGUGGUUGUUAAUAUGGUGGUAGCCUAGAGAAACUUCCUCCUUCAUUAGUGUCAAGUUUAAAUCAAGGGAUUGUAGCAGGAACUCAGGUGGGGAGUGUACAGCCUCAAAAUCUCUGGUUGGAUAGUUGACGAUGUGACUCUUCCUUGUGCAGUGGUAUUCGGGAUUUUUUAGAAGUAUUGAAAAUAAAAUAAAAAUAGUAGCAAGUCAUAUAGAAGCAUAUAUUACAAUCUACCUUCGAAUAUCUCAUCCAAUACAUCGUACAAUGUAAAAAGCUUAUUUCUAAAUUGUUUUGCUUCUGGGUUUGCCUGUAUAUCACAGUAGCCUUUGUUAUUCAUUAUAAAAAUUUUAAAACUUGAGUAAAUAAAUAAAUUAUAACAGAAAAAACAAUCAAGAAUAAAUAAAUUUAUACAAAAUAAACUUACUUUGAUAUAAUCCUCCCAAACUUGUACUGAAGCGAACACGAGCUGCAAUGUAUCAUUCCAUCCAAAGCUACUUUGUCCACGGAGUUUCUUGACAGUCUUAUAUUGUUUUAAUAAUUGGUUAUUACAACUCUUUUAACUGUUGGACAGUGAAUGAUGUAUUAAAGUUACUAUUAAAUUUGCCCAUAAUAGUUUUCCAAGCUUCUUUAGUCCAUCAAGUAUCACAUCGCUUGCCAAGAUCAUGUUAAUGUUUGAGAGGUUCAACCAAAAAAACAUCACAUCCUUGCGUCCAAUCAGCCCUAUGACGGUCUUGGGAUUCAGGAGCAGUAGACAUCAUAUUUUGACACCUAAUUUUUUAAUUUUCAAUAUGUCAAAAAACAUAUGGAAGCAUACAAUAAUUAGACAUUGUCAACCUUUACCAUGCCAAGGAACGACGAGGAGAUCAUCCAAUAUGUUUAUCUCUUGUGAUCUAACUUGCCUUGGCCAUGGCCCCAAUUUUAAUUAAAAAUAAAAAUUUACGGAAUAAGACAAGGCAAAAAUGAGCAUGAAGACAAUGGUUAUCAGCAUAAGAAAAACUUGAGUUUUCAAUAAGGUGAAAUAAGAGAGCCUCACGGUUCAGAGUUGAAUGCCAUACAUAUGAUGAACAAACAAUCUAGGAAAUAAAUUAUCAAAACAUGUAACAACAUAUACUAAAAAUUGAAACACUUAAGACUAUAUUAAAAAACCAAAAAUUUCGGUCAAAUUCAAAUUUACACAGAAAGGUUCCUUGCAACAGAUAUAAACAAAUCCCAUCAAUUUCAUAAAUGAGUUUCUUAUAACCAAAUAAAAAGCCAUAGAGGGCUUUAAAAACUUAUCUCAAUAUCAAGAAACGUAAAAUUAUCAUACUGGAUAAUGCCUACUGUAGGACUAGCAUGCCUAGCUCAUAGCUUGGCUAGGAUUCCGGUGGAAAUCAAAGUUCACCAAGGAGGGUAGCCUCAUGUCCCAUAACCAUAGAAUGCAUUCAGGUUAUUAUUGUUCUCUCUAAACACUAAAGAAAGUUUUAGCAUUUUAAUUGAUGGUUAAUAAUUGUACAAAUUAAUUCAAUUAGACUAAAACAUAGUUCAUCUAUCUUUCUUAUUUAUCCUUCCCUAGAUUAGUGUUUUGAUGUGAUAAGCCUUAGACAUAGUCGUCAUUCUCAAGAAUCACAACUCCAUUAAAUUUCUAUUUUCAUCAAAUCAUCACACAGUAACAAGCAUCACACAACCAGGCAACUUUACUUCCAGUUUCAAAAAGAAGGGUACAAGCAUUAGAGAUUUACGCUAAUACUCCAAUAGGAGCAAUAUAAUGGCAAAAAAAAACCACACAUAUAAAUAGAAAACAUAAAUUUGAUCAACAACUUAUUUCAAUAUCAUGGUAAUUGCCCUUCGUAGCCAAUGACUGGGCAUCUCUUAAAAACUCGACAUAAAUCUCCGUAAAUUAUAACCAAGCUACCCAAGAACCAAAGAUAUGCAGAAUAGAAAAGAAAAUUUAAACGAACCCCGAGAGAGAGGAUACCUCAACGCGUUCUCUAAGUCCAAAGCAGCAACCGUUAACCAUUAAAGCAUCCUCACCUCAUCCACCAAACUUAUUCUCCAAGAAAAUAUGCAAAGAGACGCGUUCUCUAAGUCCAAAGCAACAACCAUUCCUGCGCAUCCUCACCUCACCUACCAAACUUAUUCUCCAAAAAAAAUAUGCAGCGAGAAAAAGAUUUGAGCCAAGAAACCAGAGAAAAGAGAGAAGAUAUAGAUAGCUCGCAUAAGUUUAGAGAGAGAGAGUUUAGCGAUACGGAUAGAAGGUAGAAAUAGCAUCCGACCUUCCACCCUAUAUAAAAAGGAGGGAGGCUAAUUUUUUACAUGAGAGAGGAACCUUCCCGCACCAAUAUUUUGACGGAAAAACGCUAACCCACAAGUUUGUGUUUUUCCAAAUUUUCUAAAAUUCCAAUCAGACAUGUUUUCUUUGGGAUUAUGAUUUCAAAUCAUAUCUAAUAUAUUUUGGUGUUAUCAAACACCUCUUUGACUAAAUCACAUUAAAUCACAUUAGAAAAGUUCAAGAGCUUGUAAUAUUCUAAAAUAUCCUAAGAUCUUAUAAUAUUCUAAAAUAUCUUAAUAUUAUAGGUGUAUCCAACAGACCUUAAGUUAAUGAAGAAACAAAGUUCUAAGGAAGUAACUUUUUUGAAAAGCUUUUUCUGAAAAAAGGUACAGUACGGAUUUAUAUCUGUUCCAUUAAAAAAACACGAUUUUUCAAAGAUCUUUUGAAAAAAUCGAAGAACUUAAAAGGGCGUUUGGGUACCAAGAAAUCUAUUACAUGAAAAUAAAUUACAAAAAAAUAUGACAUUUCCGUACAUUUUAAUAGUAAGAAAAUGAAAAAUACAUUACACGAGAUUUCCCCAAAACUCAUGAAAUCCAUUACGUGAGGUGAAGGGUGAAAAAUCUAUUACGCGCCUUGACGAAUAAUCUAUAUGAAAAAUCUUUCGCGUGCAUCUCGUUAAAAAUUCCUCUGUAUCUCCCACUAAAAAUUGCCUUCUCUCAUAAAACAAACAAGAAGCCCUACCCACUCUCUCUCUCUCCUUCCCCCUUCUCUCAUAAACCAAGCAGGAAGCCCUAACCUCUCUCUCUCUCCUUCCCCCAAAAGCAAAAAUUGCCUCUUUACCCUAAUUUUCCCAAAACACAGUUGUUGCUCUCUCCAUCAAAGAACCUCUACUUUCCGCCCUCACCAUCAAAGAAACCUGCUCUUUAGCUUUGGACAGAACGAUACCAGAUACGCUCAUCCAUCUCUUUUGGUCUUCUUCUAUUUGUUUUUCUCUCUAGAAUUCCCAAAUCUCACACAUGACAACAAUCAAGCCAAUUUUACACAAGAAGAACCAGAACCAUGUUCAACAAUCAACAAAUGCAUAUUCUUUUGAUCCUAAUCAGCAGAUGCAUAAUCACCAGAACCAUGUUCAACAAUUUCUCUCUCUCUCUCUCUCUCNNNNNNNNNNNNNNNNNNNNNNNNNNNACGUAACUAACUACUAACAAACUAAUACGACAUAUUACUUUUACGUUAGUACCUACUACUACGACAGACAGUCACUAUACUACCACAACACUAGUCUACACUUCUCUCUCUCUCUCUCUCUCUCUCUCUCUCUCUCUCUCUCUAUGUGUGUGUGAAACCCACAAACCAAGAAAAUGGAAAUACCUCCCAAAUUGUAAUAAAACAAGGGAAUAAAAAGGGCAAUCAGAAAUUGCAUCUUCAGCGAUACCUAUGAAAACAUGUCUUUCUCUCAUUUUGAGACUCUAUCAAGCAAAGUCUAAAUAGUCCUUUAUCAACAGAAAAUGCAGCAACAAUCAAACUCAACUCCCAGGCACAUAAACAAGUACAAACUUGAUAAAAUAUGUUCAAAUAGUCAUCCCAACAAGAGCUCUAUUAAUAACCAUGUUAGACUGUGAGAAAGUACAAAUAAAGUUAGAAGAGUCAAUCCAUCAGCCACUACAUGAUCAUUAUUGUGAUACAUAAAUGAUUCAUACUGAAUGAAAUGCCCCCUGAAACAAGUUCGCACCUAGUAGCCUAUAACUCAUUGCCCUCUGGAUAACUCAACCUAUGGCACUUCCAAGUUGCAGAAAACAAACUACAAUAACUCUCUGAUAGUUUCGUGCUUGAAACCAUUUGAAAGUUGGUGAAAUAGGUAAAGUUAUGGUGUUUAGCUUGAACUCUGAUAACACAUGGUCCCAAAACUCAUGGUAGGGGGCAUUUGUUUGAUCUGAAAUUAAUAAUUGAUCUUUACUCAUCCCUAUGAUCAAUGAAAUAGAAUUUGAUUUGUAGCACACAAAAAACUAUAAAUUAAACACCCCUCAAAAUUGACUCUAGACCUUGCAUUUGAGGGAUGGCUCAAAAUCAAUUAAUAUUUCUACGUCAAAAAAAUAUUAAAUAGAGCAAUAUCUACAUAAAACAAAGUGAGAGCAAUAUUAGAUAGAGUAAUAUCAGAGAUGUGUAAGCCAUUACAUUUAAAAGGGUAACAUCAGAGCAAUAACAAGCAAUUAAACAAAUAUAUACUGCUAUUGAUUGAAAAAAGGAUCCAACGUCAAGAUCUAAUGUUAAAAGAAAACAGAAAUCUAACUGAGUUGGGCUUCCGGCUAAAUCAGGCAGAAAAAAAAGAACACAGAACAAUAAAAUAUAAGAUCAAAUAAAUUACGAUAUCAAAGUAAUUGCUCUCAAAUUCCACCUAAACUGUUCAUUAAAAGAAAAAUAAAAUGCAGCCACUCACGUAUAAAUCAUUCCACAAUUCAUUCAGAUAUGGUAGCUGAGAUCAGAUGAAUGAUAAGAACAUAACGUUUAAGACCUUCAUCCAAGGCAGAUUCAGAAUCAAUAUGUUCAAAGCCUUUCAAGGCACUAGCUUUAUAGACUAAGAGCAAAUAACUUAUCAGUAUGAUGUGAAGGAUCUCAAACAUGCAAACUUCAGUAAUCGAGACACUAGCUUAAUAGACUAAGAGCAAAUAACUCAUCAGCAUGAUGUGAAGGAUCUCAAACAUGCAAACUUCAGUAACCGAAAGUUGAGAAAACAAGAUUGGUAUUUAUAAUAGACCCUGAAAUAACCAAGGGCAAUGUUUUAUGCUUUCCCAGAUAAAGUUUGAUCACAAUUUGAGGAUCUUCUUUUGGAAUGCAAUUGGCAGUUGAGAAAACAAGAAUGGAAGUUACAGUAGACUUUGAAAUAACCACAGGAGAUAUUAUGUCCUUUCCAAGCUAAGGUUUGAUGACAUCUUUGAUGAUCUUCUUUUGGACUGCAAAUGUAAAGAUUGAAGUUCAAAAGACAUACGGUACUUGAUGUUUCCUCGUCUUAAAGAUUCAGUCAGGAAUUAACAAGACUCUUUGAUCAAAAAGAUCAGUGCUAAUAUGAAAAACUCAUCGCAAAAGGGAGAAUCUUUGAAGAAAGACACCAAAACUAUUGCAGAUAGAGAGCCCUCAUGAAUACUCGUAUGGAAUCAUUUUCAAACAAUACAAACGGGAAUUAUUAAUGCUUCAAUUUUGUUGAUUACCCUGCUUUUAUCUGCUGCAUACUUCAAAACUCACCCAAACACACAAUAAUAAUAUGUCAUAAUAUUCAGUCUCCUACACCAUAGCUUUGAAAUCAAGCUACCACGAAACCCCAACCUUCUAAUAAAUGCAAAAUAUGAAAAGUAUCAUGUAAUUGCACAGCAAAGACCAAUUAAUCUCCAAAAGCAAGAAGACAACCCACAUCUUUAUGUCUUAAAAGCAAAAAUCAACUAUUGAAUUCAAAAAUAAAAAAAAAGCCAGUUAUAAUCAAAGACAUUCAAAUCCAAACAUUUGAAAGACCACCAUUUUCCAGAGUAUAAGAAAAUUUGAAAUACUACAAACAAACAAAAUUAUACACAGAACCACACAAAAGAAAGAGAGAAAUCAUUUUUCGCCACAAUGUGCUUAAGCAUCACAAAUAUGAGAGAUUUGAAAAGGAAUAUGGAAUACCUAGAAAGCUUGGAAGAGGAUAUCUUCUAUGGACGCAAAUCCAAGAUGGAAUAUGAGCUUAAAUUAUCAGAAGUGGUUUCUAAGUAUGUGAGAUUCCAUGCGUGACUACGACCACAGUCUCUCUCUCUGUGAUAUAUUCAAAUGGUAUCUCUCUCUAAUAAAUCCCUCAUUUUCACACUAGAGCUAAACUUAGAAGAUGAAAGAGAGAGAGGGACAGAAAACAAUAAGUAAGGAGAGAGAACAGAUGAAAGAGGUGAGAGAUCAGAGGGGAAUGGGGAUGAGAGAGAAGAUGAAAGAGAGGGGAGGAAAGGGAAGAUGAGAGAAGAAGAAGACAUUACCUGGUUGCAGACGCGAGAGAGGAGGCAGCGUUGCUAGGGCUUCUGAGCUUGGAGGCAGGGGCGAGAGGAGCUAGGGUUGGGUGCUCUG
rnacentral:lncRNA from 1 species